AAUAGAUACCCGGGUAGUCCUGGCUGUAAACGAUGUCGACUAGAUCGCAGCGGCUCUGACGCCGUUGCGGUCGAAGCAAAAGUGCUAAGUCGACCGCCUGGGAAGUACGGUCGCAAGGCUAAAACUCAAAGGAAUUGACGGGGGCUCACACAAGCGGUGGAGCAUGUGGUUCAAUUCGAAGCAACGCGCAGAACCUUACCUGGGCUUGACAUGCCAGGAUUAUCCCCAUGAAAGUGGGGUAGGCCCUUCGGGGUACAACUGGUACAGGUGCUGCAUGGCUGUCGUCAGCUCGUGUCGUGAGAUGUCGGGUUAAGUCCCUUAACGAGCGAAACCUUUGCCCUUAGUUACCAGCGGGUUAUGCCGGGGACUCUAAGGGGACUGCCGGUGUCAAACCGGAGGAAGGUGGAGAUGACGUCAAGUCCUCAUGGCCUUUAUGCCCAGGGCCACACACGUGCUACAAUGGCGUCCACAAAGCGAACCGAGAGCGCGAGCUGGAGGAAAUCGCACAAAUGACGCCCCAGUUCAGAUCGG
rnacentral:rRNA from 1 species